UAACCAGAUUCCGACAAAAAUGGGCAGAAUCUUCCACCACCAACCGGUUCCCCAGCAGCCAGCAGGAAAAAGUGAAAACAAUAAUUGAGAUGGCAGAACUUUACCGAGGGUUUUUGCCGAGGGACCGACUUCUUGGCCACUUUCCUUAGGGCUGAUUUACCGCUGAACAUCCGGCCACAUCUGCUCAGGCGGGCAAGAACACUUGAGCGGCUGACGUCGAUUUGUUUCCUGGAACAGCUUCCGAAAAUUUUGCCGCGAGAAUUUGAGUUCGCUGUUUGGAGAAGGAGCACGGAGGUGUUCCCGCAAGCACUUCGCCGCCGCUCCGAGCAAGCUGAUCAUUGUUUUUUGAACCGAUCGGGCACAACUACAAGGCUCCAUCAACGGUUCCAAAUAAUUCGGAAGAUUGGAUGAAACGA